rnacentral:rRNA from 1 species
ACGGGAGGCAGCAGUGGGGGAUAUUGCACAAUGGAGGAAACUCUGAUGCAGCAACGCCGCGUGAGGGAAGAAGGUCUUCGGAUUGUAAACCUAAGUUGUCAGGGACGGUAAUGACGGGACCUGAAGAGAAAGCUCCUGCUAACUACGUGCCAGCAGCCGCGGGAAUACGUAGGGAGCGAGCGUUGUCCGGAUUUACUGGGUGUAAAGGGUGCGUAGGUGGGUUUGCAAGUCAGGCGUGAAAUCCCACGGCUUAACUGUGGGGCUGCGCUUGAAACUGUAGAUCUUGAGUGAAGUAGAGGCAAGCGGAAUUCCUAAUGUAGCGGUGAAAUGCGUAGAUAUUAGGAGGAACACCAGUGGCGAAGGCGGCUUGCUGGGCUUUAACUGACGCUGAGGCACGAAAGUAUGGGGAGCAAACAGGAUUAGAUACCCUGGUA